UGAACAGUAACUCACUAGAAAGACCAUAGUCUCGUAUAACAGCUGAUAAAGCGCUGACUUAUGUAAAAGACCUAAUUCGAUGUAUCAAAAAAAUAUGAAAAAUCAGCAGGAUUAUCUUCAGGCAAUUUUAUGUCACCGUGGCAGACUCCAAACUACAGUCAAAUGAGAAGUGAUGUUUUAAUUUUUUCCUACGUGAAACUGAGUCAGUGGAGCAUAUCGUGUGAUUUUUCAGAACUACAGGACUGUAGAUAUAUUCAUUGUCUGAUGCUGUGAAAAGCAUUUUAAUGUGUCCUUUUAACAACUAAGAAUUAAUUUUCUAGAUAACUGAAACUCUAUGAUAUAAUAUACUUUAUAUAAUGUAAUAUAACAAUACUGCUUAACUAUAAGGUAAUUUAAACUAAAACAAAACAGAAGAUAUUUAUAAAUAACUUCAAUAGUAUCAUUCUUGGUAAUUUAAAUGAUGUCUCACCUUAUGAGCUUGGUGUAAUGCGUACAAAACUUGAAAAGUAAUCCACUUUUUCUCAAUACUUGUUAAAAAUGGUCUCGUACUAAUUCUAUCGUAAAGAGAAUA